GAUAGCUCAGCUGGUAAGAGUGCGAGACUCAACCUCAGGUUCGUGGGUUCGAGCCCCAUGUUGGGCG